rnacentral:lncRNA from 1 species
CUCGACUGACUGCUGCUUCCACAGGAAGUGCACGUGGGUGGCAAACAGCCCCUCAGGAUAACCCUGGCUGACACACAGCACUGCAACCAGAGAUCCCAUCAUAAGCUGGAGAAAGCUGUAAGGUACACCUGUAGAAAAAGGAAAGACUCGGGUAUUUGUCAUGGAGAUCCAAGAGACCAGAAGCUCAGUGAACCUGGAUGUUCUUACCCAUAAGCCCAGCACAGGAACCACUAGACACACAGCCUCCACAUUUUGUCCACCCUACGGAACUGCAGAACAUCACCUCUCCAGGUGCUCCCCAUCACCCUGCAAGGAUAGCAGCCUGCAGAGACAUUUACAGCCAGAGCUGAUCCCACCUGUGCUUGCUUGAUCCUGCCUGGCCAUAGCAGCCUUUUGCUGGAAGCUCACUACCCCAAGAUGCAGGGAACGCCAGGACACAAGGAAGCUGGCCAGUAACCCAAGCCUACCCUGGGACUGUGUACAAACAGAUCUGGCAAUGAGCCUGGCCUCCCACGAGCACCGGGGAGAAACAGCACGAUGAGCAAAUGUAAAAUAUGAAGCGAAGAGGCUGAGGGAAACAGCUGAGCUUUUCAGAUGAUCCGCAGCAGAAUCUAGUGGGUGUUUCAUUCCUUUCAGUUCCCUCUGAAAACCUUGGCUCGCAGCGACAAGAUCACAUGGGUGCACAAGCCACUGAUUGCACAAUCUUGUUCCGGAAUGCUUCAGAGGCGCUGCGGCUGUUUUUUAAUAUACACUGCCCCCUCUGGCUUCCCUCUUUGCUGCUUCUCUGCUGCUGCCAGGCGCCAACCUCCUGCAGGAAUCAGGGGACAGGGGUGCAGAGGAGGUGGCAGCGGUGUGGCUCUGUGGCUCCGUCACCAGGCCGUGCCGUGGGGGUGGAGAUGGAAGGGUGCUGGUCGGAAAGCUGGCGAGCAGCUGGCAUCACUUCUGGGGCACAGUAAGUGCAAGAAUGCUUUUCUGCCUCCGAGUGCCGUUCCUGCUCCUGCAGCUGGCACUGCGUGGUGAUAGGGUUCACUUUAUUUGACUUCCAUUUAUUUUUGUUU